AUAUCAUUAAUAUUGACUAAAUACAUCAUUAUUCUACCCUAAAUCUUAAACUUUAAUUCCUUCACAUAUGCAUAUCAUUAUAACAAACAAGAAUUUAAAUAUCGUGAUAUUGGAUCACGUCAAAAACGUACCGACAUGGCGUGUACCGGACUGUAUUAAUGCAUGCCGACCACAAAAUUAAAAUACAUAUAUGCUGAUACAUAAUAACAUGAAAUAUUAACUUUUUUUUAGCAACAGAUAUUAUAACUAUUCAUUAUAUAUUUUUAUUAAAUCUUUUAAAUUUUAUUAAAAAAUUAAUUACUAAUUUAAAUAAUAGAGGAGCUUUAAUUUGUGCUAUCAGUACGGAGAUUGGAUUGUAUUGA
rnacentral:lncRNA from 1 species